GCAGUCGUGGCCGAGUAAUUAAGGCGAUGGACUAGAAAUACAUUGGGGUCUCCCCGCAGAGGUUCAAAUCCUGUCGACUGCG
rfam:Ixodes scapularis strain Wikel colony gcontig_1107728775102, whole genome shotgun sequence.